rnacentral:rRNA from 1 species
AGCGAACGCUGGCGGCAGGCUUAACACAUGCAAGUCGAGCGGGCCCUUCGGGAUCAGCGGCGGACGGGUGAGUAACGCGUGGGAACGUGCCUUCUGGUUCGGAAUAACCCUGGGAAACUAGGGCUAAUACCGGAUACGCCCUUUUGGGGAAAGGUUUACUGCCGGAAGAUCGGCCCGCGUCUGAUUAGCUAGUUGGUGGGGUAACGGCCUACCAAGGCGACGAUCAGUAGCUGGUCUGAGAGGAUGAUCAGCCACACUGGGACUGAGACACGGCCCAGACUCCUACGGGAGGCAGCAGUGGGGAAUAUUGGACAAUGGGCGCAAGCCUGAUCCAGCCAUGCCGCGUGAGUGAUGAAGGCCUUAGGGUUGUAAAGCUCUUUUAUCCGGGACGAUAAUGACGGUACCGGAGGAAUAAGCCCCGGCUAACUUCGUGCCAGCAGCCGCGGUAA